rnacentral:snoRNA from 1 species
UGCUCCUGUGAUGACCACUUAUUUGCUACUCUUGAGAAGAUGUGAUGAUACUCCAACCACCAAGUUGUAUUAUCUGAGGCA